GAUGAACGCUGGCGGCGUGCCUAAUACAUGCAAGUCGAGCGAACAGAUGAGGAGCUUGCUCCUCUGACGUUAGCGGCGGACGGGUGAGUAACACGUGGAUAACCUACCUAUAAGACUGGGAUAACUUCGGGAAACCGGAGCUAAUACCGGAUAAUAUAUUGAACCGCAUGGUUCAAUAGUGAAAGACGGUUUUGCUGUCACUUAUAGAUGGAUCCGCGCCGCAUUAGCUAGUUGGUAAGGUAACGGCUUACCAAGGCAACGAUGCGUAGCCGACCUGAGAGGGUGAUCGGCCAUACUGGAACUGAGACACGGUCCAGACUCCUACGGGAGGCAGCAGUAGGGAAUCUUCCGCAAUGGGCGAAAGCUUGACGGAGCAACGCCGCGUGAGUGAUGAAGGUCUUCGGAUCGUAAAACUCUGUUAUUAGGGAAGAACAAAUGUGUAAGUAACUAUGCACGUCUUGACGGUACCUAAUCAGAAAGCCACGGCUAACUACGUG
rnacentral:rRNA from 1 species